rnacentral:lncRNA from 1 species
GCUCUCGGGAAGAUCCUUAUCGCUGUGUCAGCGCUCAGCCUGCGGCAGUCUAUUCAACGGAGCAAGAUGAAGCUCAGCACGGAUUCAAGGGACGAGGAGUUAGCAUCCACCGCUAGAUGGAAGGACCUGCAAAGACACGAUGCAAAGGAAGAGGAAAUCGGGGCCAUCACCAGGGCAGUGCAUCACAGCAGACAGAGACAGAUGAACGUUCAGAAAACGGACAGUUGGUUCUUAUUAUUCACAGCAGACCUGUGUUCUGUAAAGUCACCACAACACUGAAUUAGCGAGUGCGGAAGGAUUGCUGUCGGGAAACACGAGGUUGGGUUCCUGGGAGCCUCCAGGUCACAAUAUCUUCAUCACUUCAAAGGGCAUCUAUGCUGUAAAGGUUUGUUUGCCGACCUCCUUGUGAAACAAGCUCAUCAGCGUUAAAAAUGUACCCUCCCACAAAACUCUUUUCUUGUAUAACACUUGGUAUCUGUAAAACUCCUCUGAUCAUCAGGGCUUACCUGGACCAGGGUCUGGUCUGAUCUCCAGUGCAGCAGGCUCACUUGGCCCACUGCGCUGUGGAAGGAAAAUGUUAUAGAGUUUCUAAGGAUGUAUUUCUCUUUCAUUUGUGACUUUAGAAAAUGAUGCCACAUCACCCAGCCAUGCCCUUCACUGAGCCGCUCUGGUUUCUCAACUGGGAAAUGUGAUAACCCCUUUCCCUGGCUGGGCCCCUGCCUCACGGUACUAGUCUGGGUUCAGUGGCCCAAGUGACACUGAAAAUACCAGUUUUUCCUUCAUUUGAGGUCACUUUUAUGUGUUUCUAACUGUGACCAGAAGAUGGCGCCCAUUCCCAACAAGUGGCCAAGAGCAGCCUGAGUCCCUCACAUUGGUGCUUGUAGCCAGUUGCUACAGUGUUAUGUCAGUAAUUACCAACGGCCCUGCUACCAUCCUGAUAACCUUGCCACGCUGGUACUUGGAUAGUGUGUUCCUGAACUUCCCAGCAGGUGGGGAAGGACCUGAGAGCACUGGUUUGCAGACAGCGCCCCGUGUCCAGGGCCUGGAACGCCAAAGGCUUGGCAGGGCCUGGGUGUGCUUGCGGGGGCGGGGACAGAACCCCAGCUGCUCUUCAUCCCUCUUCCAUUUCGUUCUCUUCCCACUGCAAUUCCAAGACUUUCCUACAGACAAGACCCUCCCCCUAGCAUGGCUGCUGCUUGCUGAGAGCAGGUUACAUUCCAGACGCUGGAGGGACCCUUUCCGUGAAUAGUUGAAGUCUCUGAACAGUCCGGGAGGAAGGGGUUUAGAAGCUCUUUCAAAAAGGAGGAAGCACAGGCUUCAAAAGAGUCCCAGCAGGUGGCAGGGGAGGGAUUCUAGUAAGGCAGCCAGAACAUCUCGGUGCACCUCUUUCCUGGCGCAGCACGGAGUCCAAGGAACUGAGAACUCAGAGGUGGGUGAGCUCUGGAUCCCUGGGCUCCUGGAGUUCACCAUCCAGUUAGAGAGAGGGCCACACAUGCAUGCGCGCAUACACACACACACACACACACACACACACACACACACACACUCUCUCACACACUCUAUUACCAGCAGAUUGUGUGAUACAUGAGGACACGCAGGUCUGAAGAACUUGCAAAGGGGCGCUGCCCUCAGCCCUCCUGAGUUUCCACGUUGUUUUGCUGUUAGAGAGAAAUGCUUGCUCCCAGCAAUGCAGGAGGGAUAGUCCCACAGCAGUGCUUCUCAAACUUACUUGGGUUCUUGCUAAAGAGGCAGGUGUGGAGUGGGGCCUGGGAUUCUGAAUUUCUAACAGCCUGAGGGGUAGAGUGGAUACCGCUGGUUCAGAGACCACAGGGAGCAGCAAGGGCUGCUGGAGGGUUGGCCCAGGACCUCUUAGGGAUGGCCCAUGAACUAAGAAUGGUUUUACAUUUCCAAAGGGCUGUAGGAAAAAAAGAAGGAGAAAAAGAAGAAUAUGCAGCAGGUCAUAGGUAGCCCUCAAAACCUAAGAUAUUUGCCAUCUGGCCCUUUAUCUAAAAAACUCUGCAGACUCUGGGACUAAAGCACUUCUGCCCGCCCCCCACCUUGGACUCCAUCAGAAGAACUGUCAUAAGCUUCCAGCCUCCUUCAAGGAGAUGAAACCUCAACGCCUCUGGCCGGGUCUCAUUGUAAUGCCCCUUCUCCCAUCUUGACCAGCCUGGGUUGCUCCCUCCCUGCUAGAGAAGGAAUGUGCCCAUUUUUCACCCAGCCUUCGCAUACCCUGUUCCCCAUGCAAAUAAAGCAUCCUGCCCAAGACCAAUCAGAAGGUCUAAUUGGGUCCCCACUCAGGUCGCCUUGUGGGGUAUAAAGACUAUUGCAGAGUGAGUCGGGGCUUCUCUUUUUAACCGGUGUGCACAGGAGUCCUCUCUCCCUCUCUGAAAAUGUGCUUUUGCUUUAAUAAAUUUGUAAAAUGUCCAUCAUUUCAAUGCUUUGUUAUGGUGAGACAGGGACCAGCAACCUGUGACGCUAUCACAACAAGUCCUCUUCAUGGCAGUUUGGAAGAGAAAGCCAGGCUCACUCAGCUUUGCUCUGUGCCCCCAGCCUUCUGCCUGCAGGAAGCCUAUAUUCUGGGAGAAGCGGGUUGGGACUCUGCUGUGGGGGAUGGGCCUGCGGUGGUCCCACUGAUGCAGUGACGAGGUAAAUGGGGAGUCAAGUGAACCCACUUUCCCGCACACCUGGGGCCAGCUCUCCAGGCCACUCAUCUGUCAUCA